UGGUCACACAUUGUCCAGACUGUCCGC
rnacentral:piRNA from 1 species